rnacentral:rRNA from 1 species
AUUGAACGCUGGCGGAAUGCUUUACACAUGCAAGUCGAACGGCAGCACGGGUGCUUGCACCUGGUGGCGAGUGGCGAACGGGUGAGUAAUAUAUCGGAACGUAUCCAAUAAUGGGGGAUAACUAGCCGAAAGGUUAGCUAAUACCGCAUACGCCCUGAGGGGGAAAGCUGGGGAUCGUAAGACCUAGCGUUGAUGGAGCGGCCGAUAUCUGAUUAGCUAGUUGGUGGGGUAAGAGCCUACCAAGGCGACGAUCAGUAGCUGGUCUGAGAGGACGACCAGCCACACUGGAACUGAGACACGGUCCAGACUCCUACGGGAGGCAGCAGUGGGGAAUUUUGGACAAUGGGGGCAACCCUGAUCCAGCAAUGCCGCGUGAGUGAAGAAGGCCUUCGGGUUGUAAAGCUCUUUUGUCAGGGAAGAAACACCGGCUCUAACACAGUCCGGGAAUGACGGUACCUGAAGAGUAAGCACCGGCUAACUACGUGCCAGCCGCCGCUGUAA